CGCCACGGAGGCUAUAAAGGGAGCCGCGGGCCGCGGGUCUCGUUCUUUUCCGUCGGGAGCCGAAGGCUUUGUCUGCGUCUGUAGGGACAAUGACGCCGUCGUUUUCUGGGCCUUCAGAGCGGUUGCAAAGAGAUGCCCAGAUGGAAGGGAGAGGCCCAAACCAUCCGAGGGAAUUCAUAACAGGAAGUAACUUUCUAAAGACCUGACUCUUUCAGCUUUCAGAAGUGCUGACCAGCUACUCCAUUUUGUAGUCUAUCAGCAGUGACUGCCAACGUGUAGAGAUACCGGCUGCCUGUAAAGUUCCUAGAGCUGCUUGGAUAAUGAGUGGACAGUGGCACAAGGCUUUGCUGGCGUAUAAGAAUUGGAUGUUAUGAAUAUCCAGAAAAAGCAGACAAAAGAAGAAAAUGUACAGUAUUGAUUAGGGGGUUUUGAGA